UGCGGGUGUGGCGGAACUGGCAGACGCACAGGACUUAAAAUCCUGCGGUAGGUGACUAAUGUACCGGUUCGAUUCCGGUCCUCGGAU
rnacentral:tRNA from 1 species